rnacentral:rRNA from 1 species
UACGGAGGGUGCGAGCGUUGUCCGGAUUGACUGGGCGUAAAGCGCACGCAGGCGGACGCGCGCGUGGGGUGUGAAAUCUGGCCGCUUAACGGCCAGGGGCCAUCCCAUAUGGCGGGUCUGGAGCGAUGCAGAGGUCGGUGGAAUUGCCGGUGUAGUGGUGAAAUGCGUAGAUAUCCGGAGGAAUACCAAAGGCGAAGGCAGUGUCCUGGGGAGUGUCUGACGCUCAGGCGCGAAAGCUAGGGGAGCGAACAGG